GCCGACAUUAAAAAUAUUAAGUAAACCAGAUGCUCCGCAGGGCGCAGCUUUAUACGACCGCAGAGGUUGAACCCUGAACGGUUGGGGCAAGUAUGGACACAACAUUCAAGCUGGAUUCAGCUCUAAAUUUGGAUUGUGAUUAAAUAGUUGACACAGCAUAGGUUUCGGACACAGAAUGAAUGUGGUCUAAUGGACUUAAAAUUUUUUUUUUUUGCUUUUGAGCAAUUCACUUUGCUGUUGAAUAUUAAUCCUCUCAAAAAUGUUUGAAGAAAUUUUCUUUUUAUGUAUGAAAUCUGAAAUGAGAAAAAUUUACCCCCCCCCCCCAUUGUUUUUCACAUCCCCCUUUCCCUUUUUCCAAAACUGAUCUCAAUUCAAAUUUCUAAUGGAGUUUGCAACAAUAACUACUCAUUUAAAUACAUCAUAAAAUAUUAAAAUGUAACAAAAG
rnacentral:lncRNA from 1 species